rnacentral:rRNA from 1 species
AUACGGAGGGUGCGAGCGUUAAUCGGAAUUACUGGGCGUAAAGCGCGCGUAGGCGGUUUGGUCAGUCGGAUGUGAAAGCCCUAGGCUCAACCUGGGAAUGGCAUUCGAUACUGCCUGACUAGAGUAUGGUAGAGGGAAGUGGAAUUUCCGGUGUAGCGGUGAAAUGCGUAGAUAUCGGAAGGAACACCAGUGGCGAAGGCGACUUCCUGGGCCAAUACUGACGCUGAGGUGCGAAAGCGUGGGGAGCAAACGGGAUUAGAAACCCCUGUAGUCC